GAUGAACGCUGGCGGCGUGCUUAACACAUGCAAGUCGAACGGAGUUUACUUAACAGAUUUCUUCGGAAUGAUGUUUUUUAAACUUAGUGGCGGACGGGUGAGUAACGCGUGGGUAACCUGCCUUACACAGGGGGAUAGCAGUUGGAAACGACUGGUAAUACCGCAUACCUUACAUUAUUCGCAUGUUUGAUGUAAGAAAGAUUUUAUCGGUGUAAGAUGGACCCGUGUCUGAUUAGCUAGUUGGUGUGGUAACGGCAUACCAAGGCGACGAUCAGUAGCCGGCCUGAGAGGGUGAACGGCCACAUUGGGACUGAGAUACGGCCCAGACUCCUACGGGAGGCAGCAGUGGGGAAUAUUGCACAAUGGAGGCAACUCUGAUGCAGCGACGCCGCGUGAGUGAAGAAGUAUUUCGGUAUGUAAAGCUCUAUCAGUAGGGAAGAUAAUGACGGUACCUACAGAAGAAGCCCCGGCUAAAUACGUGCCAGCCGCCGCCGUAA
rnacentral:rRNA from 1 species